rnacentral:miRNA from 1 species
UGUAAGUUAACGUAGUCCAAGGUU